GUUAAAAUGGCUGAUAAAAGUAGUAAAUUGUAAAUUUAUAUAUGAAUGUAAGAAUUCUUUUAACAAG
rnacentral:tRNA from 1 species